rnacentral:rRNA from 1 species
UACGGUAGGGGGCAAGCGUUGUCCGGAUUUAUUGGGCGUAAAGAGCGUGUAGGCGGCUUGGUAGGUCCGCUGUGAAAACUCCGAGGCUCAACCUCGAGACGCCGGUGGAAACCAUCAGGCUAGAGUCCGGAAGAGGAGAGUGGAAUUCCUGGUGUAGCGGUGAAAUGCGCAGAUAUCAGGAGGAACACCGGUGGCGAAGGCGGGUCUCUGGGCCGAUACUGACGCUGAGGAGCGAAAGCGUGGGGAGCGAACAGG